rnacentral:rRNA from 1 species
UACGUAGGGUGCUAGCGUUGUCCGGAUUUAUUGGGCGUAAAGGGCUCGUAGGCGGCUUGUCACGUCGGUUGUGAAAGCCCGGGGCUUAACCCCGGGUCUGCAGUCGAUACGGGCAGGCUAGAGUGUGGUAGGGGAGAUCGGAAUUCCUGGUGUAGCGGUGAAAUGCGCAGAUAUCAGGAGGAACACCGGUGGCGAAGGCGGAUCUCUGGGCCAUUACUGACGCUGAGGAGCGAAAGCGUGGGGAGCGAACAGG